UACAGAGGGGGCAAGCGUUGUUCGGAAUUACUGGGCGUAAAGCGUGCGCAGGCGGUGAUGUAAGACAGAUGUGAAAUCCCCGGGCUCAACCUGGGAACUGCAUUUGUGACUGCAUCGCUGGAGUGCGGCAGAGGGGGAUGGAAUUCCGCGUGUAGCAGUGAAAUUCGUAGAUAUUGGGAAGAACACCAGUGGCGAAGGCGGCUCACUGGCCCGUAACUGACGCUGAGGUGCGAAAGCGUGGGGAGCAAACAGG
rnacentral:rRNA from 1 species